GAGGCUUUAACUGAGCCACACAGGUACCCCAAAUCCUUUCCUUUUCUACAGCUCUAUGGAGCUCCUUUCUAUUUGCUAGAUGGGAUACUGCCCUUGUCAUGAAACAUUUAAUAAAGCCAAUUAGAUCUUUAAAAUUUACUCAGUUGAAUUUUUGUUAUUUAACAGGGGAAGAGGAGAGCUGAUGGAAUUAAGCCUCUACCCCCACCCCCUCUUUGCUGUUUUCCUCCACCAACGUGGUGGACCAAUGCCCUGAACAGUUCAUCUUCAAGUAGUUUAGCACCCUGAGUUCUGGGAUGAAGAUGAAAUGAAAUGAAAACAAUACCACCUUUCAUGAAAAUGAAAAUACCACCAAUACCACCACUGCAAGGCUGUUGGGAGUGUUGACAAGGAAGCCAUAGGCCCAAGGUGGAGUCACUGGCCCCAGGACAGCAGAUCAAGACUUAAUUGCAGUUUCAAUUUCUCCAGGGGUAGAAUUCUUUUUUUUCCUUUUUCUUUUUCUUUGAGAGAGAGAAAUGGUGUGUAUGCGCAUGCACACGAUUCAGAGGGGCAGAAAGAGAAACCCUAGCAGGCUCCAGGCCGAUGUUAAAAAUUUUUAAUCUUUAAAACAACAACAACAACAAAAAUGGGGUGCUGGGUGACCCAGUCAGUUAAGCAUCCAACUUUGGCUCAGUUCAUGAUCUUGUGGUUGGUGGGUUCGAGCCCCGCGUUAGGCUCUGUACUGUGACAGGGGGAGCCUGGAGCCUGCUUUGGGUUCUGCAUCUCCCUCUUUCUGUGCUCCUCCCCUGCUCACACUGUCUUUCUCUCUCAUUCAAAAAUAAACAUUAAAAACCAUUAUUUUCUAGUAAUCUCCACACCCAACACGGGGUUUGACCUCAUAACCCAGAGACCAAGAGUCAUGUGCUUUACCGACUGAGCCAGCCAGGUGUCCCAAAUAUAAAAUCUUAAAAAAAAAGAAAAGAAAAGAAAAGAAAUUUGCCUGUGAACAGAAGAUGGACAGUAGCCAGAAGGGAUGAAAGUUGGGAGUGUCUAUUGGAGAGGAAGUUGAGUAUCUGAGGGUUACAAAGGCAUGGUAAAAGUGUGCACCAAGGAUAGAGACUGAGAGCCAGCACUAUAGUGGAAGUUGAGAGCAAGAUUAUUAAGGGAAUCAUUUGAAGAUAAAUUUUGAACUUUGAUAUAAUCUUUGUUAGGUUAGGUGUGGGAAAUGCAAUCCAGCAAGACAGGUAUUAUCUCUACUGAUAAGAGAUGAGACUAAGACAGUCAGAGAAAGACAGAUACCAUGUGUUUUCACUCAUAUGUGGAUCUUGAAAAACUUAACAGACCAUGGGGGAGGGGAAGGGGA
rnacentral:lncRNA from 1 species